rnacentral:rRNA from 1 species
GACGAACGCUGGCGGCGUGCCUAAUACAUGCAAGUCGAACGCUUCUUUCCUCCCGAGUGCUUGCCCUCAAUUGGAAAGCGGAGUGGCGGACGGGUGAGUAACACGUGGGUAACCUACCCAUCAGAGGGGGAUAACACUUGGAAACAGGUGCUAAUACCGCAUAACAGUUUAUGCCGCAUGGCAUAAGAGUGAAAGGCGCUUUCGGGUGUCGCUGAUGGAUGGACCCGCGGUGCAUUAGCUAGUUGGUGAGGUAACGGCUCACCAAGGCCACGAUGCAUAGCCGACCUGAGAGGGUGAUCGGCCACACUGGGACUGAGACACGGCCCAGACUCCUACGGGAGGCAGCAGUAGGGAAUCUUCGGCAAUGGACGAAAGUCUGACCGAGCAACGCCGCGUGAGUGAAGAAGGUUUUCGGAUCGUAAAACUCUGUUGUUAGAGAAGAACAAGGACGUUAGUAACUGAACGUCCCCUGACGGUAUCUAACCAGAAAGCCACGGCUAACUACGUG